rnacentral:lncRNA from 1 species
AGUUUGUUGUUUAAAUUGUAAAUACUCUCGCAUUUUUCACAACAAAUACAAAGCACUGGAAUAACCGUUAAGCCAUGGAGAAUACAGUUUCGAUCCUUGUAUUUUGCGCACUACUUAUUGCAAGUCACGCGCAGCCAGACGAACAGGAAGACGACGAAGGCGGCUUUGGUGGUUCUAGUAUAGACCUGCAGGAGGAACUGUCCAUAAACAAACGUGCUGAUUUGAGUGGUUCCAGUUUUCAGCAGGGUGAGGAAGAUUUUGCGAAUAGACUUGCUGAGGAUGAGAGAUAAGAAAUAAGAAGACAGCUGAAGAAAGGCCACCAAUGCGACGUGAAGUAACACCAGACCAGUUUUAUUCAGUAGACUAUAUUAAAGAUUUGAACAGCUGACAUCUGAAGUGAUUUUUAUUUUGUCUCCAAGAUAUGAACAAAUGACUCUUACACUUACAUAUUAUAUAAUAAAACAAUAGCUCUCUGUUCCUUUAGAAUAAACAGAACAUUGCUACUGAUAUUUCUGUAUUAUACGGUCUGCCUAAGUUAUAAGCAAGUCUUACUCCCUUUAAGUUUUAACAGAAGUAAGUCUUACUCCGCCUUUGUUGUAUCAUAAGCAAGGCUAACUCCGCAUCUGUUGUAUCUUAGGAAGACUUACUCCGCCUGCCAUUCGUAACAGUUGCAUGUGUAAACACUUGUUUGGUUUACUUUUAUAUACAGUUUCCUGUAAUCUGGAAUUCCUUUUCGAAGUGGAGGGGAAUUUCAAAGUUUUCCAAAAAUUAGACACAACACAGCAACCAACAUCAAGAUGGCUUCAAACAGUUUCAUUUGAAUAACAGCUUUGGAAACAGCA